CCCAGACUCCUACGGGAGGCAGCAGUGGGGAAUAUUGCACAAUGGGGGGAACCCUGAUGCAGCGACGCCGCGUGGGUGAAGGAGUACUUCGGUACGUAAAGCCCUAUCAGCAGGAAAGAAAAUGACGGUACCUGACUAAGAAGCCCCGGCUAACUACGUGCCAGCAGCCGCGGUAAUACGUAGGGGGCAAGCGUUAUCCGGAUUUACUGGGUGUAAAGGGAGCGUAGACGGCAGUGCAAGUCCGGAGUGAAAGCCCGGGGCUCAACCCUGGGACUGCUCUGGAAACUGUAAAGCUGGAGUGCGGGAGGGGCAGGCGGAAUUCCUGGUGUAGCGGUGAAAUGCGUAGAUAUCAGGAGGAACACCGGCGGCGAAGGCGGCCUGCUGGACCGUAACUGACGUUGAGGCUCGAAAGCGUGGGGAGCAAACAGGAUUAGAUACCCCCGUAU
rnacentral:rRNA from 1 species